AUACACAAUGGGUGUGUGUGGAAACAUUGUUAUGUUCUAGAGAGCAUUUUUUAUACUUUAUCUCUUUAAAAGGAGAACGGUAACGUCUCUGAUUUAAAACAUGUGUUAACCAUUUCUUUGUAUAAGAUGCCUGGUUUUCUUUAAAAUCUAUAAUAAAUAUUUAGCAAAUUUCAUUGUAACCGAGUUUAGACAAGGCACAACCAGGGCACACAAUGCAAACGACAGAUAGAAAUAUAGACAUUUACAGGGUUAUUCACCAAACACUGGCUUUCAUUGGAAUGGAAAGAAUUCUGUGAAAUUGUCCAAAUUCUGACCAGAAAAGCAGGUCUUAUAUUUACUAACACCAAUUCUGGAAUGUAAUCAAUCCAUCCAAAUCUGUAUCAUUCGGGCUAAACUGUUUGGAUCCAG